ACAGCACCACCAACCAAAUGCCGUUUACCUCUCAAGUAUCGUAUCGUAUCGUAUGUAUCGUAUCAUCAGUCAUCUUCUUACCCAAAACGAUAACCAUAACAAUAGGAUAGUUUGAUAAGCCUAAUUUUGAUUCUUCUUUUUAUUUAGAGUUGAAGUUAGGUAAGCGCUUGAAUUUGUAUUUUGCACUUAUCACUUCACUCACAGUUACUUGAACACCGACUCAGUCUCUCACCAGUCACCAACAAAACAAAAUCCAAUGGCGCCGUCUUUCGCAAUCAACGCCGCUUUCCCCAGCGCCAGAGUCACUCCUCCUUCCGUCACCGGCCGAUUCGCCGCCGUCUACAGCGAGGUCCAAAACAGCCGCAUCGACCACGCCCUCCCUCUCCCCUCCGUUCUCAAAAACCCUUUCAUCAUCGUCGACGGUCCCCAAAGCUCCGCCGCCGGCAACCCUGAGGAGAUCGCGAAGCUGUUUCCGAACCUGUUCGGGCAACCGUCGGCGGCUUUGGUGCCGAGCGAUUCCCACGCGCUGCCUGUAAAUCAGAAGCUGAAGAUUGGCGUGGUUCUAUCCGGUGGUCAGGCUCCCGGCGGUCACAAUGUCAUUUCUGGAAUCUUCGAUUACCUGCAAGACCUUGCAGAAGGAAGCACAUUGUAUGGUUUCAGGGGUGGUCCAGCUGGCAUCAUGAAGUGCAAAUAAGUUGAACUCACCUCAGACUAUAUUUAUCCUUACAGAAAUCAGGGUGGUUUUGACAUGAUUCGCAGUGGAAGGGACAAGAUUGAAACUCCAGAGCAGUUUAAACAAGCUGAAGAAACAGUGCAGAAGCUAGACUUGGACGGCCUUGUUGUUAUUGGUGGAGAUGACUCGAACACAAAUGCAUGCCUCCUUGCUGAGCAUUUCAGGAGUAAAAAUAUGAAAACUCGUGUGAUUGGGUGCCCUAAAACCAUUGAUGGUGAUUUGAAAUGCAAAGAAGUUCCCACAAGUUUUGGGUUUGAUACAGCAUGCAAGAUAUAUGCAGAAAUGAUUGGCAAUGUUAUGAUAGAUGCUCGAUCAACUGGAAAAUAUUACCAUUUUGUUCGGCUUAUGGGACGUGCAGCUUCACACAUUACACUGGAAUGUGCUUUGCAAACUCAUCCGAACAUUACUAUUAUUGGAGAAGAGGUUGCUGCCAAGAAGAUGACACUGAAGGAUGUCACUGACUACAUUGUUAAUAUCAUUUCUAAAAGAGCUGAGGAUAAUUAUAACUAUGGGGUCAUUCUUAUCCCUGAAGGUCUAAUUGAUUUCAUUCCCGAGGUCCAACACCUUAUUGCAGAACUCAAUGAAAUUCUGGCCCAUGAUACUGUGGAUGAGGGAGGGCUAUGGAAGAAGAAACUCACUGAUCAGUCAUUAAAGCUUUUCGAAUUUUUACCUAAAGCAAUGCAAGAACAAUUAAUGCUUGAAAGAGAUCCGCAUGGAAAUGUUCAGGUUGCCAAGAUAGAAACAGAGAAAAUGCUUAUUCAAAUGGUUGAAACUGAGUUGGAGAAGAGAAAGCAACAGGGCUCAUAUAAAGGCGGAUUUAGGGGGCAGUCCCACUUUUUCGGCUAUGAAGGGAGAUGUGGCUUGCCAACGAAUUUUGAUUCUACUUACUGCUAUGCAUUGGGUUAUGGUGCUGCAGCCCUCCUUCAAAGUGGGAAGACUGGAUUAAUAUCAUCGGUUGGUAAUUUGUGUGCUCCUGUAGAAGAAUGGACUGUUGGUGGAACUGCACUCACUUCAUUGAUGGACGUGGAGAGGAGACAUGGUAAAUUCAAACCUGUGAUCAAGAAGGCAAUGGUGGAGCUUGAAGGGGCACCCUUCAAAAAGUUUGCCUCCUUGAGGGAUGAGUGGGCCCUAAAAAAUCGCUACAUUAGUCCAGGUCCAAUUCAAUUCACUGGCCGAGGAUCUGAUGCAAUUAAUCACACUUUACUCUUGGAGUUUGGUGCACAAGCUUAAGACAUACUGAGGCCUUUUUGAUGGUGGCAAUUCAUUUUUUUCGGGAACUACUGCAAAUAUAAUAGAACGGAGAUUAGUCAAGUGGUUGUGUUUUUCACUAGAGAAUAGUUUAUGCUUUAGUCGAUGUGUAUUUAUUGGUAAACUCGUGUUGUGUCAACAUCAUCGACUUAUGUUUAUGUUUUGGGAAUAUUUUGCUGCAUGAUCGUCUAGUUCGAUGUUCACUAGUCUCAUCAUUUAGGUACCGUAGUAGUGAUGCAAAUUUAGGAGGUGGAGACUUGAGUACCCGAGUGACAAAUUUUAAGGUGGAUUGUGUUUUGCAUAAGAUAAGGAAACCAAACGGUCCUGCUUCAGUGCUUUGUGUAUUGGAACUCUGCGAGGGUGACCACAGUAACGAGUAAUAUUUCUCGCAAUUUACUCUUGUUUUAUUUUUCUCCAUAGCUAACUACUAGAUUUUUGUAGGAGUUUUUGAAAAGUUUAAUAGUUUGUUUUCUAGAAAUAAUAAUUUACAUACAUUUGUUCAAUGUAGAA